AAUGAACGCUGGCGGCAGGCCUAACACAUGCAAGUCGAACGGGUCCUUCGGGACUAGUGGCGGACGGGUGAGUAACGCGUGGGAACAUACCCAAAGGUACGGAAUAGCCUCGGGAAACUGGGAGUAAUACCGUAUGUGGUCGAGAGACGAAAGAUUUAUCGCCUUUGGAUUGGCCCGCGUUGGAUUAGGUAGUUGGUGGGGUAAUGGCCUACCAAGCCGACGAUCCAUAGCUGGUUUGAGAGGAUGAUCAGCCACACUGGGACUGAGACACGGCCCAGACUCCUACGGGAGGCAGCAGUGGGGAAUCUUAGACAAUGGGGGAAACCCUGAUCUAGCCAUGCCGCGUGAUCGAUGAAGGCCUUAGGGUUGUAAAGAUCUUUCAGAUGGGAAGAUAAUGACGGUACCAUCAGAAGAAGCCCCGGCUAACUCCGUGCCAGCAGCCGCCGUAC
rnacentral:rRNA from 1 species